rnacentral:rRNA from 1 species
AUGGCUGUCGUCAGCUCGUGCCGUGAGGUGUUGGGUUAAGUCCCGCAACGAGCGCAACCCCCACCCUAUGUUGCCAACGGUUCGGCCGGGCACUCUUAGGGAACUGCCGGCGAAGAGCUGGAAAGGGGGGGAUGACGUCAAGUCCGUAUGCCCCUUAUGUCCAGGGCUACACACAUGCUACGAUGGUCGGUACAGAGGGUUGCCAACCCGCAAGGGGGAGCCAAUCCCAGAAAGCCGAUCUCAGUUCGGAUUGCAGGCUGCAACUCGCCUGCAUGAAGUAGGAAUCGCUAGUAAGCGCAGAUCAGCAGGCUGCGCUGAAUACGUUCCCGGGCCUUGUACACACCGCCCGU